GAUGAACGCUGGCGGCGUGCCUAAUACAUGCAAGUCGAGCGAACAGACGAGGAGCUUGCUCCUCUGACGUUAGCGGCGGACGGGUGAGUAACACGUGGAUAACCUACCUCUAAGACUGGGAUAACUUCGGGAAACCGGAGCUAAUACCGGGUAAUAUAUUGAACCGCAUGGUUCAAUAGUGAAAGACGGUUUUGCUGUCACUUAUAGAUGGAUCCGCGCCGCAUUAGCUAGUUGGUAAGGUAACGGCUUACCAAGGCAACGAUGCGUAGCCGACCUGAGAGGGUGAUCGGCCACACUGGAACUGAGACACGGUCCAGACUCCGACGGGGGGCAGCAGUAGGGAAGAGUCCGCGAUGGGCGAAAGCGUGACGGAGCAACGCCGCGUGAGUGAUGAAGGUCUUCGGAUCGUAAAACUCUGUGAGUAGGGAAGAACAAAUGUGUAAGUAACUAUGCACGUCGUGACGGUACCUAAUCAGAAAGCCACGGCUAACUAUG
rnacentral:rRNA from 1 species